CCUACGGGUGGCUGCAGUGAGGAAUAUUGGUCAAUGGACGCAAGUCUGAACCAGCCAUGCCGCGUGCAGGAAGACGGCUCUAUGAGUUGUAAACUGCAUUUGUACGAGGGUAAACGCAGAUACGCGUAUCUGUCUGAAAGGAUCGUACGAAUAAGGAUCGGCUAACUCCGGGCCAGCAGCCGCGGUAAUACGGAGGAUUCAAGCGUUAUCCGGAUUUAUUGGGUUUAAAGGGUGCGUAGGCGGUCGGAUAAGUUAGAGGUGAAAUCCCGAGGCUCAACUUCCGAAUUGCCUUUGAUACUGGUCGACGAGAGAGUAGAUGCGGUAGGCGGAAUGUAUGGUGUAGCGGUGAAAUGCAUAGAGAGCAUACAGAACACCGAUUGCGAAGGCAGCUUACCAAGCUACUACUGACGUUGAGGCACGAAGGCGUGGGGAGCAAACAGGAUUAGAUACCCUAGUAGUC
rnacentral:rRNA from 1 species